rnacentral:rRNA from 1 species
AUUGAACGCUGGCGGCAGGCCUAACACAUGCAAGUCGAACGAGUGGCGGACGGGUGAGUAAUGUCUGGGAAAUUGCCCGAUGGAGGGGGAUAACCACUGGAAACGGUAGCUAAUACCCCAUUCUAUCGGAUGUUCCCAUAUGGGCUUAGCUAGUAGGUGGGGUACUGGGUCACCUAGGCGACGAUCCCUGGCUGGUCUGAGAGGAUGACCAGCGACACUGGAACUGAGACACGGUCCAGACUCCUACGGGAGGCAGCAGUGGGGAAUAUUGCACAAUGGGCGCAAGCCUGAUGCAGCCAUGCCGGGGGUAUGAAGAAGGCCUUCGGGUUGUAAAGUACUUUCAGCGAGGAGGCGUUACUCGCAGAAGAAGCACCGGCUAACUCCGUGCCAGCAGCCGCGGUAAUAC